rnacentral:rRNA from 1 species
GGCUCUGCUUAUGAUUGGACAGCGCUUACUGCGCGGUCUAUAUUCUUUAAACACUUUGUUUUUUUGUUUGGCUUGUCUUAUUUUAAGUCAGCCAAUUGAUAAACCCUAGGCUUCGGCCGAUGUAUUUUUAAUUAUUAUUUGUCAUAAAUUUUAAAAUAAAAUUUAAAACUUUCAGCAACGGAUCUCUUGGUUCUCGCAUCGAUGAAGAACGCAGCGAAUUGCGAUAAGUAUUGUGAAUUGCAGAUUUUCGUGAAUCAUCGAAUCUUUGAACGCAUAUUGCACUCUAUAGUAUUCUGUAGAGUAUGCUUGUUUGAGCGUCAUUUCACUCUUAAACCUCUAGGUUUAGUUAUGGAGGAAGUGGGGAUACUCUUUCCACUCCUCUGAAAUGACUCGGCAGGUCCUUUAGUGGCUAUUUAUAGCUUUGGAGAAUUUAUUACUAGGUUUUACCAUUUUAAUAAAUACCUCUAAGCUAGGUUACUCUAGGUUAUCGGCCUAAUCAACUGUCAUCAUAAAUUUUGACCUCAAAUCAAGUAAGGAUACCCACUGAACUUAAGCAUAUCAAAAGCCGGAGGAAG